rnacentral:lncRNA from 1 species
UAUAAAGCCCAAUUACCUUGUUACUUUCAUAUUUAAAUAAUUUAGAUUUUUUUUGUAAGUUAUUAUCCUAAUUAGUGAGCUUUAAUAAAAUGUAACAUCCAAUCCGACCAUCCACUUGAUAUGGAAUUUUGCAUGAAAUUUUCAAUGUAAGUCUUCUAUAUGCUCAAGAACUUUUAGCCCAAUCCAACUUAUAAAUUGAGAGAAAACCUCCAAAAAUUGCAAUGAUAUCACUCGGCCGCCAACUUGAAAAAUAAAGCAAAAAUCCCAACAAUGAUUUCUCCCUUUCCAACCGUUAACUUUGUUUCAAAAUUGGUGAGUAGCUUGAUCUUCAAGUCUUUCAAUACCAUGCCAAUUUUUAUCUUAAUCCGACUAAUAGAUCUCCAAAUAUCAUAGAAACCCUAUCCAACCUCAAACUGCCACCUUCUGAAACCCUCUUGUGCUAAAAACUAGAUAUCUCUAAACUAAUUUAUUAGAUUAUCACAAAAUUUUGUAUACUCUUAGCACACUUAAUAAUACAAAUAAUAUAAAAUUUUCAACUAUAGAUGUUACACCAAUUACACGAACUAGCCAAAAUUGCUAGCCCUAAUUAUAUUAUGUAAAAUCCAAAUCAUUGAUACAA